GUCCGGCCGUAUUUUUGAACAGCAUCCUCGCCAACGCACAAAUACUGUAUAUGUGGUGGGUCAGCAUCAGCUUCGUCUCCGAACCAAACAGGACGCUCCAUAGUAAAUCGAAAAUGAAGUAACCCAGACUCAUCACCAUCACUCUUUUGUGGCUGCAAGUCGUUUGGAGUUCCGGAUAAAUGAACGGAGUGCCGGGCAUCAAACACUCGCGUACCCCGAGAUAAGCCAUUAUCAAGCCGUGGACGAAGGUUAGAAUUCUGCAGGUGAACUCCUGCGGUUUGUUAGGGAGCAGCAGGCGCAGGAUUCCGUACGAUGUGCACCAGAAGGCCGUACUGGCGAUUAUGACCUCGUACGAGUCGUACUGGAUGGUGCUUUUUGGAUGGAAUUUUGAUGGUUUCAUUGUGUUAAGGCAUUUUUAUAUUCACUGUCACUUUUAUGCUGAUACACGUCACUUUUUGAUAUUUACUGUUUAUAUUAAAAGUUUAUUUUUAUAUAUUAUACAUAAUCAACGUUUUGCAGUAACUACUAAUAUUGUGGCUAGCAGAUAUGGUACUGUUAUAUGAUAACGUUGAAUUUUACUGGUUUUCUAAUUUGCCUUUUAUUAUCUGUUAUAUUAAAAUAAAUAAAGUUUAAUCAUUAUGCAAAUGAGGCGAAUACCAUUUUCCUCUCUUAAUAAUUUGAGUCAUAUUUAAUAAACAAUUAAAAUUUAUAUAGAUACAUUGUUUUUUGAUAUUGUCACAUUCGGUCAUGCGAAUGUCAUUUCGACAUUAAAGAAAAUAAGUCAGCGGUCUUACGUACUUUUCAGGUUGUAUUAUAAUAAAUAAAAUAAUGCCACGUCCAGAUUUUGAAACCGAGAUGGCAGCUUCAACACUUAUUACAUACAAAAAAUCAAGGAAAAGUACUAAGAAAUAUGUUUUUAUUAAAAUAUGGAAAUUUACAGUCAAUUUCUGUGACAUGUUAGGAUUACUGGACAUAUUACCUUGUGGCACAAUACAUUCGAUUAAGCCAUAUAUUAAUUACGGCAUCAAUAUUGAAAAAUUGUAAAAAUGUAACAUUUUUGACUGAAUAAAUGUAUAUAAGUUUUUAGAUUCAAA